rnacentral:rRNA from 1 species
AAUCAACGCUGGCGGCGCGCUUAACACAUGCAAGUCGAACGAGAAAGCUUCCUUCGGGAAGUGAGUAAAGUGGCGGACGGGUGAGUAACACGUGGGUAAUCUGCCCUUGAGUGGGGAAUAACUCUGGGAAACCGGAGCUAAUACCGCAUACGAUCCUUCGGGAUGAAAGCUUUAUGCGCUCAAGGAUGAGCCCGCGGUCGAUUAGCUUGUUGGUGGGGUAAUGGCUCACCAAGGCUACGAUCGAUAGCCGGCCUGAGAGGGCACACGGCCACACUGGCACUGAGACACGGGCCAGACUCCUACGGGAGGCAGCAGUGGGGAAUCUUGGUCAAUGGGGGAAACCCUGAACCAGCGACGCCGCGUGACCGAUGAAGGCCCUCGGGUCGUAAAGGUCUUUCGACGGGGACUAUAAUGAAGGUACCCGUAAAAGCAGGAGCGGCUAACUAUGUGCCAGCAGCCGCGGUAAUACAUAGGCUCCAAGCGUUGUUCGGAAUUACUGGGCGUAAAGCGAGUGUAGGCUGUCCGCCAAGUCGAUUGUGAAAUCUCCCGGCUCAACUGGGAGGGUGCG